UACGGAGGGUGCAAACGUUGCUCGGAAUCAUUGGGCGUAAAGCGCACGUAGGCGGCUUGUUAAGUCGGAUGUGAAAGCCCUCGGCUCAACCGAGGAAGUGCAUACGAAACUGGCGAGCUUGAAUAUGGAAGAGGGUCGCGGAAUUCCCGGUGUAGAGGUGAAAUUCGUAGAUAUCGGGAGGAACACCAGUGGCGAAGGCGGUUGCCUGGGGCUUUGCUGACGCUGAGGCGCGAAAGCGUGGGGAGCGAUCCGG
rnacentral:rRNA from 1 species